rnacentral:tRNA from 1 species
UUAAUUGAAGCCAAAGAAAGAGAGAGAGGCACCUUAAUGUUAAUAAGGUAAUUGAUUUUUAUAUCCAAUUAAG